rnacentral:misc_RNA from 1 species
GAGACAAGCAUAUGACUACUGGCAGGAUCAACCAGGUAGCAUUCCUUCGCGACGCCGACGCCYGCAUGAGACCCGGCAGGCCGUACGGCCGCGGGCUCAAGACGGGCACGGCAGUCGUUCGUGUCGUAAGACAAAUGCGUUGCUUGGGCAAACGGAGCUAAUAAAUAGACCCCGCACCCGCACAUAACAUUCCGCAUCCGAGAGCACGGGCAAUGCACCUCAUGGGCCGAGGCAGCGACGCAGCUGGGCGAAGCAUGCCGGGAACACGAGGCUUGCCUGAUGUCCACCCCAAAACCCGUGAGGGCAGGGGGCGGAAAGGGACUAACGAAACCAUCGGAUUCCUUUCGAUAGGUAAGCAACACAGGAUACCGAA